rnacentral:rRNA from 1 species
GAUGGGGCUGCGGCGGAUUAGGUAGUUGGUGGGGCAACGGCCCACCAAGCCGACGAUCCGUACGGGCCCUGAGAGGGGGAGCCCGGAGAUGGACACUGAGACACGGGUCCAGGCCCUACGGGGCGCAGCAGGCGCGAAACCUCCGCAAUGCACGAAAGUGCGACGGGGGGACCCCGAGUGCCAUCCCAACGGGAUGGCUUUUCCGGAGUGUAAACAGCUCCGGGAAUAAGGGCUGGGCAAGUCCGGUGCCAGCAGCCGCG